rnacentral:rRNA from 1 species
AUUGAACGCUGGCGGCAUGCUUUACACAUGCAAGUCGAACGGUAACAGGUUAAGCUGACGAGUGGCGAACGGGUGAGUAAUGCAUCGGAACGUGCCCGAUCGUGGGGGAUAACGCAGCGAAAGUUGCGCUAAUACCGCAUACGAUCUGAGGAUGAAAGCGGGGGACCGUAAGGCCUCGCGCGAUCGGAGCGGCCGAUGUCAGAUUAGGUAGUUGGUGGGGUAAAGGCUCACCAAGCCAACGAUCUGUAGCUGGUCUGAGAGGACGACCAGCCACACUGGGACGGAGACACGGCCCAGACUCCUACGGGAGGCAGCAGUGGGGAAUUUUGGACAAUGGGCGAAAGCCUGAUCCAGCAAUGCCGCGUGCAGGAAGAAGGCCUUCGGGUUGUAAACUGCUUUUGUACGGAGCGAAAAGGCUCUCUCUAAUACAGGGGGCUCAUGACGGUACCGUAAGAAUAAGCACCGGCUAACUACGUGCCAGCCGCCGCGGUAAGAC